ACUCUUUAACAUCAAUUUUACUGUUUUCUAUCUGUUUUUGCUUCUUUUUUAUUUCAAAUUCAUGAGAACAGAGUGAAUUAAAGACAGAUUUUCGAGUUAGGGUUUUGAUGGAUGAAAUUGGGUAUUUUCGGAGAUAAAUUGAAAUCAACAAAACAAAUUCAGUUUCUUCAGUUGCUUCAAUUCUUGUCAGCAUGUUGGCACUGAAGAGCAGUGUUUAAAAAUAAUCCACCAUAACCCACCAUAGUCAAAGUGUAGCGUCAAGAAACAAUAAACAAAAUCCAGUUCUUGUGAUUGUGUUAUUCAGUAGUCUUCUGAUCAGAAGCUUUUGCGAUCCGUUGUGGUUGUUUUUUACUUCUGUUACGGAGUAGCACUUGAACCAGAAGUUAAUGGAUGAUAGGUAACACCUCUAUUGUGCUUCGGUUGGCUGAAGUAUCAAGAUAGUUGGUGAUCUCUUUUUCUGUUGACCAGUCCUUCCGGGGCAGUCUUUCUUGAUUACUCAGAGGUACAAUUUCACUUUCUUUAAAUUUUUAUAUGAGGAUAUUUCAGACUUUUCACAAUACUUAAUGCAAAGUGGCUUUAACCCUGCAAAUGAGUAGACAUGUAUUGGCCAUUUUCUUGCUCUUUGUUCGUCGUGGGUAACCAGUCUAUUUAUGUUCGGUUUGUAAUUUUAUUGACCAACUUUAAGCCUUCGAUCUUUUUCUCUAUUUGAGGUAGCAUGCGUUUUUCUGUGAUUGCUUGUAGAGCAUAGUGAAAAUGCAACUUAGUUCAAAUUGUAAUCCUUACACAUGAUUUCCUUGACUAUAAUAGUGAUUGUCAUUUCAUUAGUUGACUUCUUUUUACAAACUUCUCAUUAAGUAGUGGACCUCCAGGCUCUAGGACAGAUGCAUGAGCAGCGGAGGGAAUUCCCUCAGGGACAUAUGUAAACAGAAAAUCUUAGAUGUUAGAGAUUGUUAGUGUUAGUUAAUAAAGUAUUACUUAAGAACUUAGAAAUUGCUAUUUAGUUGUUUAAAGUACUAGAUUAGCGAAUGAAUUACUUUCAUUGAAUAGCAUGUUCCCUAAAUAAUAUGUUACGUGCACAAAAAUUAGAAUUUGGCAACCGAAAUUUUACUGGAAUAUAGUAAGCAACAUUACUUAUAUAGUCAUGUUAAGGACAUUUUCAAGUAUACAUAAUGUUCUGUAAGUGUUAAAUGGACUCUAUCACAACAUGUGCAUUAGUAGAAGGGGAUUCUUUAUGCUCUGAUCCAUACUGAUUUAAACCUCCGAUCCAUACUUAUUUUGAUCGAAACAUCUGUGACAUCAAACUUAUCCAGUCAAUUUUGAUUACCUGGACAUAUGUUCACUAUCUAUGAAGCCUAUAUAAGUCAUAAUCUAGGUAGUAGGAUUUUUACAUAUUUAUCUUUUCAUUUUUCUAUUAUAAUCAAGCUAAAGAUUUCAACUAUCCAUGUUGCAAUGCCUACAGGUUUUCUUGGUUAGUUUCUGACUUAUUAAGAAGAAUAUAAAUUAAGUUUGGUUAAAGAAAAAACAAGAAAGAAAGAGCAUAAAUUAGUAUUGACACUCAGAAAUUAAAGUAGAGUUGGGGGUCUGUGCUUGGUUCCCGUUAGAUUACUUUUGUGAUUGUAAGAGCUUUUUGAGGUCAGUAUCUUCAAUAGGUUGAUGUUUGCAAUAGAGGGGAUUUAAAUAUCGUGAAAAACACACAUACUGCAAGUGUCAUUUGCUGGUUUGGCUAGCAAAGUUAAGCUUUGCGUGGACUGUCAACAAAUGAAGAAAACCUGUGAUGUUUGUGGCAGAAAGACCCAAAAAAGAAUGCUGAUUUUGAACUCUGUGGAGACUGCCCUUCAACUUUGUAAUGUUGGUGAUCCGACUUGAUUUUGUUUUGUUUGUAAACAACUAAAUGGCCCCUAACAAAAGUUCCUCAUGUAUCUUGUAUGAACUUUUAUUUUUGUGCAAUUUCAUAUUAGAAAAAGGUUUAAAGAAAAAGAAAGUUCAAAUUUUUUGCAAUAUUGGGCACGGGCCAUCACUACCUAGUUGCCUUAGAAGUGAAGGUUCCAAAACUGCGACGUCGGCGCAAUGCGCGUAGCCGCAAGAAAGGGACGGCAACAGGAACUUCAUAGAUAAUUAAGGAGAAGUGAUGUGGAUUAUUAGACAUUUGAUUUGUCCCAUGUCUCUCUUGUAAUUGAAACGGGGAGUUUGAUUUGA